AGUGAACGCUGGCGGUAGGCCUAACACAUGCAAGUCGAACGGCAGCAGAGUAAGGGCUGGCGACUAGGGGUGGAGAGUGGCGGACGGGUGCGGAAUAUAUCGGAAUCUGGUGUAUAGCGGGGGGAAAGGUAGGGAAAUACAGGCUAAUACCGCAUACGACAAACGGGGGAAAGCAGGGGAUCUUGCGAUCUUGGGCGACGGUAGGAGCCGAUGUCGGAUUAGGUAGUUGGGGGGGUAAAGGCCUACCAAGGCGACGAUCCGUAGCUGGUCUGAGAGGACGAUCAGCCACACUGGAACUGAGACACGGUCCAGACUCCUACGGGAGGCAGCAGUGGGGAAUUUUGGACAAAGGGCGAAAGCCUGAUCCAGCAAUGCCGCGUGGGGGAUGAAGGCCUUCGGGUUGUAAACUCCUUUUGUUCGGAACGAAAAGCAGCUGGCUAAUACCUCGGUGACAUGACGGUACCCUAAGAAUAAGCACCGGCUAACUUCGUG
rnacentral:rRNA from 1 species